GAUGAACGCUAGCGAUAGGCUUAACACAUGCAAGUCGAGGGGUAACAUGGGAGUAGCUUGCUACUUCUGAUGACGACCGGCGGAUGGGUGAGUAACGCGUAUGCAACUUGCUUCUUAGUGGGGAAUAACCCGGAGAAAUCCGGACUAAUACCGCAUACGUCCCAUGGGAGAAAGCGGGGGCUCGCAAGACCUCGCGCGGUUGGACGAACCGAUGUGCGAUUAGCUAGUUGGCGGGGUAAUGGCCCACCAAGGCGACGAUCGCUAGCUGGUCUGAGAGGAUGAUCAGCCACACUGGGACUGAGACACGGCCCAG
rnacentral:rRNA from 1 species